rnacentral:lncRNA from 1 species
GCACUAAGCCCUCAGAAUCACUCCCAAAGUUCCUACCCUCCUAAUGUCAUUACCCUACAGGUCAGAUGUCAACAUAUGAAUUUUGUGCAUCUGUCCCCAGAUGGGUCUCAUCCCUCUCAAACUCCCUUUCUUCUCCCUCAAACCUAUUCCUCCUCCUGACUUCCUCACCUCAUUUAAGUCUACAGUCCUCUCAGCAAAUCCCCUUAGAACCAUUCUUGUCUCUUCCCCCUGACCUCCUAAUCUACAUUUGAUCAGAGUCUAACACUUGUCCAUUCUUUCUCUUUAAUACCCCCAUCACACACACACACACACACACACACACAGAGGAUUUAUUAAAAAUAAUUAACCCAUGUGUUUAUGGAGGGAAGGUCUUGUUUGACCUCCUUCUUCCCUCCGCCCCAGUUUUAUAUAAAUGAGAAAAUUAAGGCCCAGAAAACAAAUGACUAACUAAAUCAAAGAGAUGCAGCUUAAUACAAGGAAAGUUUCAGGUCAAAUCUGCAACCUGUAGGCAUGCUCUAUCUUCUUUGCAGCUCUCUUUAGCAAGUCUGCCUAACAAUUUCUGGAACUGUCCCAGGAGGGGAAAAUGGAAACAAUUAAACCUUGACAAAUGACAGCUUCAUCAGAUGUGAUCUAAACACAAAGAACUAUAAGGAACUCAACUGCUGAAACUCUUCGAUAACAUCAAGGAAAAGGAGUCAUUUCACAUAAAUCUCAGGGAUGAUGUCAUCUAAACAUACAAGUAGUUAGUGGAAGUUCCAACUCAUCAUGAAGGAAAUGAUUCUUAUAAAUAGUUUGAUCUGGAGAUACUGUUUGGCGUCUUAAAAAUCAUAGACUCUG